CCUACGGGAGGCAGCAGUGGGGAAUUUUGGACAAUGGGGGCAACCCUGAUCCAGCCAUGCCGCGUGAGUGAAGAAGGCCUUCGGGUUGUAAAGCUCUUUCAGCCGGGAAGAAAACGCAUUGGUUAAUACCUGAUGUGGAUGACGGUACCGGAAUAAGAAGCACCGGCUAACUACGUGCCAGCAGCCGCGGUAAUACGUAGGGUGCGAGCGUUAAUCGGAAUUACUGGGCGUAAAGCGUGCGCAGGCGGUUUUGUAAGAUAGGUGUGAAAUCCCCGGGCUUAACCUGGGAACUGCAUUUAUGACUGCAAGGCUAGAGUACGGCAGAGGGGGGUGGAAUUCCACGUGUAGCAGUGAAAUGCGUAGAGAUGUGGAGGAACACCAAUGGCGAAGGCAGCCCCCUGGGUCGAUACUGACGCUCAUGCACGAAAGCGUGGGUAGCAAACAGGAUUAGAUACCCUGGUAGUCCACGCCCUAAACGAUGUCAACUAGGUGUUGGGUGGGUAAAACCAUUUAGUACCGGAGCUAACGCGUGAAGUGACCGCC
rnacentral:rRNA from 1 species